UGUCCUUCCAUCGUGGCUGCUCUCCUUGCUCCUCCUCUUUCUCUGCUUUCUGCUGUCUGAGGUGUUCACUAAGUACACGGUCAGUUGUGGCUGAUGUCUGUGGUCUCGUCCUGAACAGCGGUUCUGCUGACACUCACUGGUCCUCUGACUCGUCCCUUCCUCGUGUCAGUGCUUUCAGUCUUCUCCUUUGGCGAGCUCAUUAUCCCAGCUGGGUAUCUGAUCAGGGCGGCAAGGCGCAGGUGUUGAUUGACCAUAGUCAGAUCCCACCUACAAGCAUCUUUGAGGGAAACAUGUCAUGGUCCGGGUGAGUGCUGGGCCUUCCCACAGGGCCGGCAUUUCCACCCCUGGGCGGAGCCGCCACAUCAUGCUGACAGGCUGCACCUGAGCGUAAUUGGAAUUGGCGGCUUCUUAAGACCAGCGCUCAGACUCACACUUCGCCAGAUCGUCUGCAAACCUUUGUCAGUCAGGGCUUCCACAGUUUUGUCAGUUCAUAGUAGUUUCAUGUGUUUUCUGAUGUUUGUGCUUUCUCCACUGUCAGAGGACCUACGAACGUUGUCAAGCCACUGCCGUCACCUGUUAGGAUUUCAGUGCUGGUCUGUUCAGUUUCUCCAUGCCUGCCUGCCUCCCUGCCCAGCGCUCAGGAUAAUCAUCUCCCCUCACCCGGACCACCUCCCCUCUAAGCUUUGCCUCCGCAUGUGCAUGAUGACUAAACCCUUACCUCUGCCCCCCCCCCCUCAGGAGUUCCUGCACUGACAGAUUUCCAGUGUCAGGUUCUCCAUUCAAUCCACGACAGCCCCACGGCUUCCCCACAGACACUUCUAGUGCACCUUCUAGUUUUGUUUCAUAGAAAUGCCAAGUCGGCCAUGUGUGUUUCAAAGUAAAGGAUUGUGAAUUUCUGAGUUAAAACUGUGUGUCUCCAAGCGGAGUAUUAUGAAUCAUAGUGUGCCUCUAAGUUAACGUUAUAUUUAAAUUCAUGUCCCAGAGUGGAGUUUCUAGCGUGUGUUAAGUUUGGUUAGGUUGCCGCUAGCCCUCGGUUCCUUAUGAGUGUUUUUGAGUUAUUCCUUGUUUACAUUGAGCAAUUCUGAGUUAUGGUAAGCACUUUGAGCACCUCUCACUGUCGUUCGCUGUUUAUGUAACCCUGGUUAACAUAGCUGUCAAUAAAUAAAAGCCUGUUAGUAAAAACAGUAAUAAGAAAUAUAUUACAGGUGACAAAUAGUCAAUAAAUAGAUCAUAAUGGUUAGAAAAUUCAUUAAAAACAUCAGCAAUGAUAUAAUUCAUGGUAUAGGAUUUCAUUUGUGUUUAAAAACAUGUUAAAAGGUUUAAAAACUUGCUAAUUCAUGGUGUUUUUAUGUUAAUUCAGGUAAAAUGGCUAAAAUAUGUGUUCAGACUCUUAUUGUGAAAGGGCAUGCUGCAGCGUGACUCCUGUGAUCAGCCACACCCAAUCGGGUUGUUCCUUCUUUUUGAUGCUGGAGAGGGAGAAAUGCAAACAGUCCUUGCGGAGCUGCUGCCUAAACAAGUGGAAAAAAAUAUUAAAAAACCAAGCCAGAAAUCUAUAUAAAGCCAUUUUUGUACUCUGGAGAAUAUAUUUUUGUUUUUCCGACCUGUCCUUGCCUUGGUGAAGUUGUGAACGUAACCGAACGGGACUUGGCCAUUAAGGUUUGGAUCGGGAAAUGCCGAGCUAGAAUCGGAGUUUGAUCCGCUGAGCGAGGAAAACAAGAUGGCGAGCCACCCACGG